rnacentral:misc_RNA from 1 species
GAUGAAGAACGUAGCGAAAUGCGAUAAGUAAUGUGAAUUGCAGAAUUCAGUGAAUCAUCGAAUCUUUGAACGCACAUUGCGCCCGCCAGUAUUCUGGCGGGCAUGCCUGUUCGAGCGUCAUUUCAACCAUCAAGCCCCAGGCUUGUGUUGGGGACCUGCGGCUGCCGCAGGCACUGAAAACCAGUGGCGGGCUCGCUGUCACACCGGGCGUAGUAGAUUUUAUCUCGCUCUGGGCGUGCUGCGGGUUCCGGCCGUUAAAAAACCCUUUUAACCCAAGGUUGACCUCGGAUCAGGUAGGAAUACCCGCUGAACUUAAGCAUAUCAAUAAGCGGAGGA